ACAUGCAAGUCGAGCGAAUGGAUUAAGAGCUUGCUCUUAUGAAGUUAGCGNNNNACGGGUGAGUAACACGUGGGUAACCUACCCAUAAGACUGGGAUAACUCCGGGAAACCGGGGCUAAUACCGGAUAAUAUUUUGAACUGCAUAGUUCGAAAUUGAAAGGCGGCUUCGGCUGUCACUUAUGGAUGGACCCGCGUCGCAUUAGCUAGUUGGUGAGGUAACGGCUCACCAAGGCGACGAUGCGUAGCCGACCUGAGAGGGUGAUCGGCCACACUGGGACUGAGACACGGCCCAGACUCCUACGGGAGGCAGCAGUAGGGAAUCUUCCGCAAUGGACGAAAGUCUGACGGAGCAACGCCGCGUGAGUGAUGAAGGCUUUCGGGUCGUAAAACUCUGUUGUUAGGGAAGAACAAGUGCUAGUUGAAUAAGCUGGUACCUUGACGGUACCUAACCAGAAAGCCACGGCUAACUACGUGCCAGCAGCCGCGGUAAUACGUANGUGGCAAGCGUUAUCCGGAAUUAUUGGGCGUAAAGCGCGCGCAGGUG
rnacentral:rRNA from 1 species